GUUUGAUCAUGGCUCAGAUUGAACGCUGGCGGCAGGCUUAACACAUGCAAGUCGAGCGGGGAAGGGUAGCUUGCUACCUGACCUAGCGGCGGACGGGUGAGUAAUGCUUAGGAAUCUGCCUAUUAGUGGGGGACAACAUUCCGAAAGGAAUGCUAAUACCGCAUACGCCCUACGGGGGAAAGCAGGGGAUCUUCGGACCUUGCGCUAAUAGAUGAGCCUAAGUCAGAUUAGCUAGUUGGUGGGGUAAAGGCCUACCAAGGCGACGAUCUGUAGCUGGUCUGAGAGGACGACCAGCCACACUGGGACUGAGACACGGCCCAGACUCCUACGGGAGGCAGCAGUGGGGAAUAUUGGACAAUGGGCGAAAGCCUGAUCCAGCCAUGCCGCGUGUGUGAAGAAGGUCUUCGGAUUGUAAAGCACUUUAAGUUGGGAGGAAGGGCAUUAACCUAAUACGUUAGUGUUUUGACGUUACCGACAGAAUAAGCACCGGCUAACUCUGUGCCAGCAGCCGCGGUAAUACAGAGGGUGCAAGCGUUAAUCGGAAUUACUGGGCGUAAAGCGCGCGUAGGUGGUUUGUUAAGUUGGAUGUGAAAGCCCCGGGCUCAACCUGGGAACUGCAUCCAAAACUGGCAAGCUAGAGUACGGUAGAGGGUGGUGGAAUUUCCUGUGUAGCGGUGAAAUGCGUAGAUAUAGGAAGGAACACCAGUGGCGAAGGCGACCACCUGGACUGAUACUGACACUGAUGUGCGAAAGC
rnacentral:rRNA from 1 species